CCACGCCGUAAACGGUGGGUACUAGGUGUGGGUUUCCUUCUUCGCGAUCCGUGCCGUAGCUAACGCAUUAAGUACCCCGCCUGGGGAGUACGGCCGCAAGGCUAAAACUCUAAGAAAUUGACGGGGGCCCGCACAAGCGGCGGAGCAUGUGGAUUAAUUCGAUGCAACGCGAAGAACCUUACCUGGGUUUGACAUGCACAGGACGCCGGCAGAGAUGUCGGUUCCCUUGUGGCCUGUGUGCAGGUGGUGCAUGGCUGUCGUCAGCUCGUGUCGUGAGAUGUUGGGUUAAGUCCCGCAACGAGCGCAACCCUUGUCUCAUGUUGCCAGCGGGUAAUGCCGGGGACUCGUGAGAGACUGCCGGGGUCAACUCGGAGGAAGGUGGGGAUGACGUCAAGUCAUCAUGCCCCUUAUGUCCAGGGCUUCACACAUGCUACAAUGGCCGGUACAAAGGGCUGCGAUGCCGCGAGGUUAAGCGAAUCCUUUUAAAGCCGGUCUCAGUUUGGAUCGGGGUCUGCAACUCGACCCCGUGAAGUCGGAGUCGCUAGUAAUCGCAGAUCAGCACGCUGCGGUGAUACGUUCCCGGGC
rnacentral:rRNA from 1 species